rnacentral:lncRNA from 1 species
CCUUAAUCCGAGUAUGAGAAGGUUUUGAGGCAUUGAAAGAGAAAUGUUAGGCCCUUUUGGGAUGUGUGUGAUGUAGGUUGUCUGAUAAAAGAGUUUGAUUUGUGCUUUAGAGCCCAAAUAUAUUGUUAAAGGUGCUGGUUUGGGCUUUUCAUGAAUUUUGGAUCCGAGUUCGAGUGGGAUUCAGAAGGAAUAAAGUUGAUAGAAGUGUAGGGAUUCUCGUUAGCUUUCCGUGGAUAUAAGGAUCGUCGAAAACUGACUUAUAAUGAAGAAGUUAUGGUCUUCAGAAGUUUUGUGGUUUCAGGCUUAGCCGACUACGCUGGGCGUAAUUUGGAGUACGCUGGGCAUACUGACCAGGGAUGGUCGCGAAUGUUCUUCAGAGUACGCUGGGCGUACCAUAUAAAUGCUAGGCAUACGCCAAACAGACCUGAACACUAUUUUAGGGUCUUGGACCCUAUUUAAGCUCCUUAUCUCAUAACCUAACCCUAAUAUCUUCAGCCUCCAUCCCUCUAAACCCAAUAAAUCGACCCUAAGUCUCCAUUUGAGUGAUUCUUGAGCAUUUUGGUGAUUUGGUGAGUUUUUGGUGCAUAUUGUGGAAGAAGGAGUUCCUUGAGGAAGCAUUGCUUGGCUUAGAGCUUGUGAAUCCAAGCCCUAAUCAUGUUGAUCUAGCUCCAGAAAGCAUGAAGUUUGAAUCUUGGUGGCUUUCUCAAUUGGAUCUAUUGGGAUGAUCACUUGUUGUGUUUGGCUUUUAAAGAAGAAGGAGCUUUGAAAGAGAAUGGCUUGAGCACCUAGCUUUUGGAUCUAUGUUCUUCUCUUAUUGAUGCAUCUUCCAGAGGUAUCAAGUUUUGAACUUGCUUAUUAUUGUGCUAGUUUUUGUUUUGGGUCCAUUUUAGGGUUUUUGGUCCCAAAGCUUGAAGAUUUAUGAGCGGUUAAGCUCCACAGCCUAAUAUAUGUCCCUUUAAGUGUUUCUAGUGGAAAGGAUUCAUAAAAAUGAGUCCUUGGAUGUUGAAAUCAAACCAUGCAUGAGAUAUGAGAAUUUUGGGUAGUAAAGAGUGAGAGUUUUUGUGUUUGGGACUUGAUCAGCCAUGCAAAGGCUUAAAGUCACGAGCUUUAUUGAGUAUGAGCCUUUAUGGAAUCCAGAUCUAAGAGUAUAGCUAUGGUCUUAACUGAUUACGACCAAAAGAAUUGAAAAAGUAAAUUUGGGCAUACGCUGAGUGUAAAUCUAGUACGCCCCACGUACUAUGUUGGUGUCCCCGAUUAGGAUUCGUGUACCAUGGAGUACGCUGAGCGUACCAAGGGAGGUACGCCCUGCGUAACCCCACUGUGGACUCUUUGGGCUAAAUCUAAUAUUGGGCCUUAAGUGUUGGGCCUAGAGUUUUGGCUUGUUGUGCUAGAGAUUUGGACCAGAUGAAUAUGUAUAUGUGCCUUGGGCCCUUGAGUUGGGCUUGCCUCUUGGACUUGAGAGUUGGGCCUCGGGAGAGUCCAUUUAUUAUUGGGCCUUGGUCGGCCCAAUGGGUUUUAAAGUUAUUUAUGGUCUAGUUAGUGGACUACUUUUGGACCUAGAGAAUGAGGGUUGGGACUUAGAUCCUAAUUUGAGAUCAUUGUAGAUAUGGCUUAGGGGUAAAGUCUGGUGCGCAACGGCGACAUUUGUAGGAGUCGUGCAUCAUUCGAGGUGAGUCUUCUCACUAUACCUUACCUAGAGUGGUAAUUAGAGUUGUGUGACAUAGUACAUUAUAUACUAUUUGUAUGAUGUGAUACACUGUAUUAUUCUAUGUGAUUUAUGCUGUGUAUGAUUCACAGUUAUAGAGUUAGGGCCGGAAGGUCCACUGAGUUAGGGCUGGAGGGUCCACAGAGUUAUAGGACAGGAGGGUUCCACAGAGACACAUUGACUAGAGGGUCAUACAGGGUUAUAGCCUCGAGUGGUUAAUAUCUGUUGCAUGUGGUAUUUUGAGGAACUCACUAAGCUUCGUGCUUACCGUGUUAUGUGUUAAGUGUUCAGGUUCUUAUCAGGAUCGCGGAAAGACAGCGGCACGAUUGUACACACAAGAGAAAAGAGUCAUGCAUGGGGUUCCUGGAUUUUGAUAAUUACUUUUGAAAACUAUUUUGAAAUAUGUUAUGACAUCGACAGUUGAUAUUUUGAAAAUUAUUAUAUGUGAUGUUGGUAAUUUAAAAUUGAACAAAAUUGUUUGAAAAUUUACGGUGUUACAAUUUGGUAUCAGAGCCUUGGUUUGAGGGAUUCGGAUACACCUUCGGGUAUGUCUGGACUCAAACUAAGGAUUUGAGAAAAGUUUUCAAAAGGAUCGGUUUUUCUAAAAAUGAGCAAGAGAAUUUUAAGAGAAAGAGGAAACGAGCAGUGUGUACAAUCAACCAGCGCCCAAAAGGUGAUUUCCCAAAAUACCUUUACUUAUUUGUGUUAUGAGUUAUUAUUGAGAUGUUAGUGAUGCAUGCUAGAAGAUAGGCUAGGUAUUUCAUAUAAUAGGGAUAGAGUUGCCUGGUUUGUGAUGCCUUAGCCUAGCUGUUGUUGUUAUCUAUGAUGUGCUUGGAGUAUGUGCAGUGUAACAGUAUCCAGCAUGAAUCUUUUAGAGAGAGCUUUGAGUAGAGGAGUAAUCUAAGAGAGAUACCUAGAUGCGCAUUGGAGGAGCCUACUGAGAAAGUAGUAGAUACCCACGAGGGGUAGGGUUGCUUGAGUGUGGUGAUACCCUUGGAGUGUGUUUAGAGCAAGUGGAGUUGUAACUUAGAGUGGUUUUAUGUGUUGAUGGAGAUUAUUCGAUGCCUGAAUGUUGCUUGCUCCAUGCUUUGUGGAACUCUUGAUGAUGGGAGUCACCUACUAAGUGAAUAUGACGAUAUUCAGGAGGUAGAUGACUGACAUCAUAAGGAGUUCUUCAGCAGCUGAUGGCAGAGAGGUGUGAGAAGCUAGGAAGAGCCCGGGAAGGACCUUUGUCAGAUGAGUAGGCUGAUAAAGGAGAGUAUUCACAGGAGAGCGACCAUUAUGACGGGAUUAGUGAUUGAGGAGGUUGAGCAGCUACUUAGGAAAUCUAGGAUGAUCAGUGUGGAAAGUAUGGGUAGAUGUGGCAGGUAGUAUGGGCCCGUACUACUGAAAUCAGAGGACCUAUUCUCGAUACAUGGAGAAUUCCAGAGGUUCUAAGUUGCAGGUUGAGAGGUGAUCAUAUGGUUCGAGUAUCAUGAUUCGUAGCAGACUGAGAGGAGAUAACAUGGUUCGAGUACCAUGAUUCAUGGAGGAUGGUGCUUCUGGUCUUACUAGUUAUCCCGUUGAGAUUGAUCAGACUGGGAUCAAACAUGAUAGAGUGUGGGGCAAGAGGGCCAUGUUGAACGAGUUUCAAUUGAGCAUACCUUGAAGAGAAAUCGAGUUGGUUCCCGAGACAUUUUGGUGAGAUGUCAGUUGGAGUCACAAGACUCAGGGAUAAGAAGAGGUGGUACUUUUUAGAGGAUUACGGUCUGAGCUGAGCAGUCAGCCGAUAGCAGAGAUGCCAUUUUUUGUGACCAGAGUUGUGCUAUUUUCUGUGAGAAGCAGAAGGGAUAUUGAGCUUCUGGUUUUAGAGUUGGAGGUAGACCCGGUGGGGUAGCAAGGGGUUGCGACCUUUUCACCAGAGUAAUUGGGCAGUAUGUUUGAUAUGAGGUAUUCUUAUCCCAUGAGAGAGUCAUUAGUGGGACUAAGAUGGAUAUGAACAAAGAGGUGCUUUGUUAAGGGUGAUGUAUUGUUGUUGGCAGUUCUUGGUGGCUAAGAGGAGUAUAUCGGGGAGGUGGCCCUCGUGGUAUGUGUUGUGUAUCGACAAUAAGAGUGAGGUCUAUUGCUUUUAUGAGAAUUUCCGAUUUGGGAAGCGGUUCGAGGAGUCAGAGUCGAAGUGUGAUAUUAUGCAUCAUUUCCAGACCGAGAGUCAAAUCUAAUUCGGAACAGUGGGGUAUCCAACGGUGUGUCAGUUUGAGGCUUCAAGAUGAAUAGAGGUAGUCAUGCUAGGAGGAUUCUGAGAUUUUUGGUCAAAGUCGGGAUAUGUGGAGUUGCUUGGUUUCCAUCGGGAAGAUCAUUAAAGUGAUUACGUGAUACAUUCUAAGAGUCAAGUGUGAUAUACCUGGUGAAACGGUCUAGGGAGUAGAUUGUUGGUAUGCCAAUUGGUGAUGGUUCGAACCCUGAGUGGGGGAGAGCAGGGUAUUCUAUUGAUAGGAUCAGCAAUCCGUUAAAGUGCGGUUAUAGGAUUGGCUAAGGAUUUUUCGGGUUUGCAAAUGUUGAGUUCGAGGUGGUUGGGUAGCUGAGUUCAGGAUGCAAUAGCUGAGAUUUACGGGUAUAGGUAUAGAUUGUGAUCUAUACUUCAGGAGGGGAAACAAUGGAUUUGUUAACCAAUUUUAGAGUCAUAAUGAGUAGUUUCGCUUGGGUGGUGAUCAGUAGAGGAUGGAGCUUUGGAUUUUCAUCAACAUGUUUUCAGUUAUUGAUAAUUCCGCCGUGUUACAAUGUGUGAGAUGGGACUAUUUCGAGGUUCUGAGUGCCUUAUCAGUUUAGUCUGUGGGAAGCUGGUGGUCAGGCCAGUGGUGAGACUGGGGUCUCUCUAUUGGUUGGGAAUCACUGUGAUCUGGGUAGAGGAGGGAUUAUCAUAAUCAGAAGGAAUUGGAGAGAGGGUGUGAGCAUAAAUUCACGAAUCAUGGGUAGGGGUUGAGUAUCAGAUUGGAAAUGUGUGGUUCCAAUUCUGCUGUUGAAUCAGACUCUCGAGUUGAGUUUGGGACAAAUCGUGUAUUGAGUAGACUAGAUGAGGUUCUGGAUUUGUAGAUGGGUUUCAUUUCGAGGAGUAUUGAUCUUCAUAUGAUGUCUUAGACUAGAGUGGGUUAGUUUCGUUGGUAUGAGAAGAACCAUGAGACGCAUGGAACCAAUAGGUGGCAGACGAUAGAGGUCGGAGGUGAGACGAUUUCAGUUGGGGUUGUAGUAUUAGCUUGGGGUAAAGCGAACAUUGUGACUUGUGUGUCACGAUGGGCUGGGAUAGUUAUUGAGAGAAGGAAGCUGGUAAGUCGUUCAUUUGGGUGAGACCUUGGAGAUCCAACUGUUGGGUCGGGAGUUGACCUGGUCUUCAGUGUCGGAAGGACCAUUUGAGAGGAACUGGGGCUUAUGAUUAAGGAUGCCAGAGGAUCGUUCCGAGCUGGCUUGACCGCUUUUGUGUGUCUGAGGAAAAAUAUUUGAGAUUAUUCCUUCAGAAGAGUUAUGAUAAUUGUUUAGCUGGUGGGUCCUUAGUGGGAUAUGACCUUUCUGUCCCUUUUGAGUUACGACCAGGAUCGAUUAGAGAAUUAGAAUUGGUAGAAUAUUUUUAUAGUAGGUUAUUCGAUGAGCGGUUAACAUGAUGAUAUUACGAGGGUGGUCUGGCAAGGAGACAGACCACUAGAGUUUUCAAGUUCUGGAGAGGCAGAUCGAGUACUGCAACAACAGAAGGGUCUGUCCUUCUUCAGGGUCAGAUGUUCCUGUUGGGUUUAGGUGUUUUUGGAAGAGAUUGUUGUAUGAUAUGGGGUUCUUUUGGUGGUUCUUAUUGGAUUAUUGGGAUCGACCUAUGUGUUGAUAAGGAGCGAUUUCGAGGGCGAAAUCUAUUUCAAGUGCGUGAGAAUUUUAACAUCCUGUUCUGGAUUGUUUUGUGACUUAAGGCCCGUGGGCCUUAAUCCGAGUAUGAGAAGGUUUUGAGGCAUUGAAAGAGAAAGAUUAGGCCCUUUUGGGAUGUGGGUUAGGUAGGUUGUGUGAUAAAAGAGUUCGGUUUGUGAUUUAGAGCCCAAAUGUAUUGUUAAAGGUGCUGGUUCGGGCUUUUCAUGAAUUUUGGAUCUGAGUUUGAGUGGGAUUCAGGAGGAAUAAAGUUGAUAGAAGUGUAGGGCUUCUCGUUAGCUUUCUGUGGAUAUAAGGAUCAUCGGAAAUGGACUAACAACGAAAAAGUUAUGGCCUUCAUAAGUUUUGUGGUUUCAGGCUUAGCCUAGUACAAUGGGCAUACUGACCAGGGAUGGUCGCGAAUGUUCUUCAGAGUACGCU